UACGUAGGGUGCGAGCGUUGUCCGGAAUUACUGGGCGUAAAGAGCUCGUAGGUGGUUUGUCGCGUUGUCCGUGAAAACUCACAACUCAAUUGUGGGCGUGCGGGCGAUACGGGCAGACUGGAGUACUGCAGGGGAGACUGGAAUUCCUGGUGUAGCGGUGGAAUGCGCAGAUAUCAGGAGGAACACCGAUGGCGAAGGCAGGUCUCUGGGACGGUACUGACGCUGAGACGCGAAAGCGUGGGGAGCGAACAGG
rnacentral:rRNA from 1 species